UUCUGCAGGAAGGUAGCUCUCCAGGAAUAGGGUUGGUGACCCCUGCUCUAAAGCUAAGCAGGGCUGAGCCUGGUCAGUACCUAAAUGGGAGACCACAUGGGAAAAACUAGGUUGCUGUUGGUA
rnacentral:rRNA from 1 species